rnacentral:rRNA from 1 species
CCUACGGGAGGCAGCAGUAAGGAAUAUUGGUCAAUGGACGAAAGUCUGAACCAGCCAUGCCGCGUGAAGGAUGAAGGCCCUCUGGGUUGUAAACUUCUUUUAUCUGGGACGAAAAAAGCUCAUUCUUGAGCACUUGACGGUACCAGAGGAAUAAGCACCGGCUAACUCCGUGCCAGCAGCCGCGGUAAUACGGAGGGUGCAAGCGUUAUCCGGAUUCACUGGGUUUAAAGGGUGCGUAGGUGGGUCUGUAAGUCAGUGGUGAAAUCUCCGAGCUUAACUCGGAAACUGCCAUUGAUACUAUAGGUCUUGAAUCAUCUGGAGGUAAGCGGAAUAUGUCAUGUAGCGGUGAAAUGCUUAGAUAUGACAUAGAACACCAAUUGCGAAGGCAGCUUACUACGGGUGUAUUGACACUGAGGCACGAAAGCGUGGGGAUCAAACAGGAUUAGAUACCCUGGUAGUCCACGCCCUAAACGAUGGAUACUCGACAUCAGCGAUACACUGUUGGUUGUUCGUGAGCGAAGACGAUUAAGUUAUCCCACCCGUACGGAAGGUAACGACCCGACCGACGGUUAGUAACGUAACAAACUAGUAAGUUAGUACGGACGUUGAGACGUUGCCGACGGACGACGACGAGGGAGGAGGG